CCUUCCUACUCCUUCCCCUCACGCGCGCUUACUAUCCACUUUCACUGGAGACCGACUGCAACAAGCUCGGUUUUUUCCUCUUUUUUCUUUUGCUUGCCAUUCUUUGCUUUUGGUUAUGCCCUCAUGUACGGAGGCAACGCGACACAGACGCUUCACCCCUACUAUGCGUGGCGCCCCAGAAAAACGCAGGCCGUGGAUUGUCUCUGCGUUAGACUGCAUGCCACAAACCUCUUGUCCUUUCCUGUAAACAGUUUUUUCUCAUCUGCAGUAUUUUUGGUUUUUCAACUCAAAACUCGACUUCUGUUUAGAAACCUUUUUUUUUUUUUUUUUAUCUCAUCUGUAUUGUGAAGCGGGAGCUGAGGGUUGAAGAAAGAGAAAAGAGUGUCCGAUGAAUGGACAGAUGAAGGGGACAGAGGCAAAGAAUGAGGGGAAAAUGGAGAGCAUGGUCUGCGGAAGAAAGUGAGAAAGACACAGAGAGAGAGAGAGAGAGAGAGGAGAAAGAGUACCGGCACUGGCAAGAAAAACGGGAGGGGGAAGAGAGGAGAAGGGGGACCAGUAGGGGAUAGACUUAGGAAGGAGGGACGGCUGGAUAGGAAUUGGCAAAAUCGCGGGAAAAAGGAGAAAAAACAAAACUCCAGAAUGAGAAGAAACAGGACUUCUCACCAAACUCAGACUCGCCGUCUCUGGUCGCCUCUCAUUUUUGUUUUUUGACAUGAUUUUUCAUCACUUCUCCGGUCACCCUCUCACUCAUCUAUUGAGCCUUGGAGAGAACCAGAACCUUUUCACCGUAGAUGAUGGUGAUUUACAUCAGGAAUGCCGUGGUCAACCACAGAAGCUCCCCAGUGUGAAGAGAGCCAUGGGAAAAACCUCAAACUAGAUCCUGGUUGUGAGGCUGUGAUCCAGUCCAGUUCAUGCAGACGAAACAUUUCGUGUCGGACUGCAUCGGCAUCGAUAACAAACAACGGUAAUCAUCAAAUAUGAUGUAUGACGUAGAGUCUAUUUUUGUUAUAAUGUAUAAAGAUGCUAUGUAAGUAAUUCAAAUGUUUUUAUGUGCAGGUUUAGAAAAGUUAAUCUCACGGGCUUAACAAAAUAAUUCACAAUAAAUAUACGACAUACGUCACUGAAAUAUAUUUUAGUAUGUUAAAAUUUCACAACUUGCAGUAAUAUUUAAGACUUUGGAUUUGAACUGUGGACGAGGAUGAUUGAGCAGCUGACCGUCAGCUCCUGCAUUUUCAGACCAGCGGUGUCUGUCGGUGUGCGUCAUUGUCCCUGAGACCCUUAACCUGUGAUGAUAUGAAAGGUCACAGGUGAGGUCCUUGGGAACAAAGGUGCAUGCAGUUGCCUCUGGAGACCACGACAUUUCCUGUCAUUAGACUGAGAGAAACAUUCUUACAUUGCCAGACAACAUGUCAUGAGAUUAUCACAAAUAUCAGAAAUGUGUAAGAGAUGUGUAAUAGAUCAGAGUUAAUCUGCCGAGCAGUCGUAGAACUAGACGUUUUGAAUGCAUGAAGUCAUCCGAAGAGAAUUCCCCAAAGUUUCCAGACAUCAGGAAAAGCCAAGAAGAGACACCGUGGUUUGCUGGAGGGGGCAGUACCUUUUGGCCGACUUUGUGAGAUGAACAGUUACACGGUUCAAUAAGAAGGCAGCCAAGGGUCAUGACCCCGAUAUAUGAUUCACAUGGGAUUUUUGAAAUCCGUUCACAGACACUGAAAAUAACAACACUGAAGACCUGUAGUUAAAAGAAGGAAACGCUUUGAUGGUUAAUUUUAUGAAAAGACAAAAAAUUUCCCAGGCUGAGAGUGACAUAUACAGAUAGCAUGUUUGGUGUACCAAAACAGUCCAAAACCUAAUUAUGUUUAGUUUGCUGUCAGAAAAAUGGUUGAAUAAUAACCUAAGCAAUUAAUCAAUUGUCAAAAUAGUUGAUUCAUUUCAUAAAUUUUCCAUAAUUUCCAUGGAUGAAUGAUAUGCAACUUGCUCUGGAUUUUCCUUUUUGUGAUGACAAUAAAAUUCAAGAAAUUG